UUAUAACAUUUUCCUCGGCAGUUAACUGCAGCCGUAUUUCUAAAAUUUAUGCAGUUAACUGCCGAGGGGCAU
rnacentral:pre_miRNA from 1 species